rnacentral:tRNA from 1 species
GGCAGGAUAGCUCAAUGGUAGAGCGGCGUCUUCAUAAGGCGCAUGUUGCGGGUUCAAUUCCCGCUCCUGCUA